GACGGAAGGUGCAAGCGUUGCUCGGAAUCACUGGGCGUAAAGGGUGCGUAGGCGGCCGCGCAAGUCUGGCGUGAAAGCCCCGGGCUCAGCCCGGGAAGGGCGCUCGAAACGGCGCGGCUCGAGUGCCGGAGGGGAGAGUGGAAUUCCUGGUGUAGCGGUGAAAUGCGUAGAUAUCUGGAGGAAUACCGGUGGCGAAGGCGGCAUCCUGGACCGACAUUGACGCUGAUGAGCGAAAGCUAGGGGAGCAAACGGG
rnacentral:rRNA from 1 species